rnacentral:misc_RNA from 1 species
UUGAAAUAAACCUGAUGGGUUGUUGCUGGCUCUCCAGGGAGCAUGUGCACGCCUUGUCAUCUUUAUAUCUCCACCUGUGCACCUUUUGUAGACCUUCCCAGGUCUAUGUUGCUUCAUCUACCCCAAUGUAUGUCAAUAGAAUGUAUGUGCCUAUGAAAUUUAUA